UACAGAGGGUGCUAGCGUUGUUCGGAAUCAUUGGGCGUAAAGGGCGUGUAGGCGGUUUGUUAAGUCAUGUGUGAAAUCCCUCGGCUCAACCGGGGAACGACGCAUGAAACUGGCAAGCUAGAGUACCAAAGAGGGGGGUGGAAUUCCCGGUGUAGCAGUGAAAUGCGUAGAUAUCGGGAGGAACACCUGUGGCGAAGGCGGCCCCCUGGUUGGAUACUGACGCUGAUACGCGAAAGCGUGGGGAGCAAACAGG
rnacentral:rRNA from 1 species